GAUUGGGGGAAAGAACAACCGGGAUUGCCUUAGUAACGGCGAGUGAAGCGGCAAGAGCUCAAAUUUGAAAGCUGGCCCCUUCGGGGUCCGCAUUGUAAUUUGCAGAGGAUGCUUCGGGUGCGGCCCCCGUCUAAGUGCCCUGGAACGGGCCGUCAGAGAGGGUGAGAAUCCCGUCUGGGAUGGGGUGUCCGCGCCCGUGUGAAGCUCCUUCGACGAGUCGAGUUGUUUGGGAAUGCAGCUCUAAAUGGGUGGUAAAUUUCAUCUAAAGCUAAAUACUGGCCGGAGACCGAUAGCGCACAAGUAGAGUGAUCGAAAGAGGAU
rnacentral:rRNA from 1 species